AUGAUGGAGAGUUUGAUCCUGGCUCAGGACGAACGCUGGCGGCGUGGAUUAGGCAUGCAAGUCGAACGGUAGUAUCCUUUCGGGGAU
rnacentral:rRNA from 1 species